GAUGAACGCUGGCGGCGUGCCUAAUACAUGCAAGUCGAACGCGAAAGGCUUGAAGCCUUCGGGCGGAGGGCCGAGUAGAGUGGCGAACGGGUGAGGAACACGUAGGUGACCUGCCCCGGAGAGGGGGAUAACCGUCGGAAACGGCGGCUAAUACCCCAUAAGCUCACGCGAGUUAGAGGGCGUGUGAGAAAAGCUCCGGCGCUCCGGGAGGGGCCUGCGGCCCAUCAGCUAGUUGGUAGGGUAAAGGCCUACCAAGGCGAAGACGGGUAGGGGGCCUGAGAGGGUGGUCCCCCACAUGGGAACUGAGACACGGUCCCAACUCCUACGGGAGGCAGCAGUAAGGAAUAUUGCACAAUGGGCGCAAGCCUGAUGCAGCAACGCCGCGUGCCCGAGGACGGCCUUCGGGUUGUAAAGGGCUUUUCUGGCUGACGAGGAAGGACGGUAGGCCAGGAAUAAGCGUCGGCUAACUACGUG
rnacentral:rRNA from 2 species